rnacentral:rRNA from 1 species
CAGCCGCCGCGGUAAUACCGGCGGCCCGAGUGGCGGUCACUCUUAUUGGGCUUAAAGCGUCCGUAGCCGGGUUGGGAAGUCCUCCGGGAAAUCUGGCCGCUUAACGGUCAGAAUGCCGGAGGAUACUCCCAGCCUAGGGAGCGGGAGAGGCCGAGGGGAUUCCCGGGGUAGGGGGGAAAUCCUAUAAUCCCGGGAGGACCACCUGUGGCGAAGGCGCUCGGCUGGAACGCGUCCGACGGUGAGGGACGAAGGCCAGGGGAGCAAACCGGAUUAGAUACCCGGGUAGUCCUGGCUGUAAACGAUGCGGACUUUGUGUCGGACAAGCUAUGAGCUUGUCCGGUGCCGGAGGGAAACCGUUAAGUCCGCCGCCUGGGGAGUACGGCCGCAAGGCUGAAACUUAAAGGAAUUGGCGGG